UUACGUGGCGCUAACAUGUCAAUGACCUUGUAAACUGUUGACAUGGUCCAGCUUAAUUAAAUGGGUUCCAGAAGAAAACGGGUCUGGGUCGGAUCUUGAUUAGAUUCAAAUUUGUGGCACGUUUCUUCCCUGCAAGGUCUUUAAUCCGACGCCCUAAUAAUCAAAAUCGCUCGAUGGAGGACUCUACAGCAGCAGAUUUCAACAUCAGCGGUGGAUUUCAGAGUAGAAAGGGAGAUCGGCAGCAUCGGGGAGACGGUGGCCCCCUGGAGGUCAAGGUCGAUGGCAUGGCCAGCCUCACCAAAGGGGCAAAGCGGGGGCAGAUAAGGAGUGGGAUCAAUGAUGAAGGCCGGAGAGGCCAGAGAGGAAAAUGAGUGAGAG
rnacentral:lncRNA from 1 species